rnacentral:rRNA from 1 species
GGGUCAGUAGGUUGGUCGUGCCACCGGUACGUACUGGUCUCACUGAUUCCUCCUUCCUGAAGAACCUUAAUGCCAUUAAUUUGGUGUUGCGGGGAAACAGGACUGUUACUUUGAAAAAAUUAGAGUGUUUAAAGCAAGCUAACGCUUGGAUACAUUAGCAUGGAAUAAUGAAAUAGGACGAUCGAUCCUAUUUUGUUGGUUUCUAGGAUUGACGUA